AUUGAACGCUGGCGGUAUGCUUAAGACAUGCAAGUCGUGCGGUAGAAGGCUUCGGCCUUUGAGAGCGGCGGACGGGUGAGUAACACGUGGGAAUCUGCCUAUUAGUGGGGGACAGCCCAGCGAAAGCUGGAUUAAUACCGCAUACGCCCUACGGGGGAAAGCAGCAAUGCGCUAAUAGAUGAGCCCGCGUAAGAUUAGCUAGUUGGUAAGGUAAAGGCUUACCAAGGCGACGAUCUUUAGCUGGUCUGAGAGGAUGGCCAGCCACAUCGGGACUGAGACACGGCCCGGACUCCUACGGGAGGCAGCAGUCGGGAAUAUUGGACAAUGGGCGCAAGCCUGAUCCAGCAAUACCGCGUGUGUGAAGAAGGCCUGCGGGUUGUAAAGCACUUUCAGUUGGGAAGAUAAUGACGUUACCAACAGAAGAAGCACCGGCUAACUCCGUGCCAGCAGCCGCGGU
rnacentral:rRNA from 1 species